rnacentral:rRNA from 1 species
GCAGGGAAUAUUGUACAAUGGGCGAAAGCCUGAUACAGCGACGCCGCGUGGAGGAUGAAGAUCUUCGGAUUGUAAACUCCUUUUCUCAGGGAAGAACUAUGACGGUACCUGAGGAAUAAGUCACGGCUAACUACGUGCCAGCAGCCGCGGUAAUACGUAGGUGGCUAGCGUUAUCCGGAUUUAUUGGGCGUAAAGAGGGCGUAGGCGGCUCAGUAAGUCAGAUGUGAAAUCUCCCGGCUCAACUGGGAGGGGUCAUCUGAUACUGCUGGGCUUGAGGACAGUAGAAGGAGAUGGAAUUCCCGGUGUAGUGGUGAAAUACGUAGAUAUCGGGAGGAACACCAGUGGCGAAAGCGGUCUCCCGGACUGUCCCUGACGCUCAUGUCCGAAAGCGUGGGGAGCGAACAGGAUUAGAUACCCGAGUAGUCC